UGAUUUAUUUUUUAAUGUUUAUAUUAUUUGAAUAAAACAUUCAAAUAAUAUAAAAAAUAAUAUAUAUAUUGACAUGGAUUAAACAAAGAUAUAUAUUAUUCUAUGUUGUAUAAACAAAUUGGCAAAAUAGAGAUGGAAGAUAAAAAUAUGGUCAAAGUAAUAAGAGUCUAUGGUGGAUGCCUAGGAGCUUUAAGGCGAAGAAGGUCGUGGUAAGCUGCGAAAAGCUUGGGGG
rnacentral:misc_RNA from 1 species